rnacentral:rRNA from 1 species
GGGGCCCGCACAAGCGGCGGAGCAUGUUGCUUAAUUCGAUGCAACGCGAAGAACCUUACCUAGGCUUGACAUGCACGGAAAUCUCGCAGAGAUGCGGGGUCCUUUAAAGGGUCGUGCACAGGUGGUGCAUGGUUGUCGUCAGCUCGUGUCGUGAGAUGUUGGGUUAAGUCCCGCAACGAGCGCAACCCUCGUUCUAUGUUGCCAGCACGUCAUGGUGGGGACUCAUAGGAGACUGCCGGGGUCAACUCGGAGGAAGGUGGGGAUGACGUCAAAUCAUCAUGCCCCUUAUGUCUAGGGCUGCAAACAUGCUACAAUGGCCGGUACAAAGGGCUGCGAUACCGCGAGGUGGAGCGAAUCCCAAAAAGCCGGUCUCAGUUCGGAUUGGGGUCUGCAACUCGACCCCAUGAAGUUGGAGUCGCUAGUAAUCGCAGAUCAGCAACGCUGCGGUGAAUACGUUCCCGGGCCUUGUACACACCGCCCGUCACGUCACGAAAGUCGGUAACGCCCGAAGCCGGUGGCCCAACCCCUUGUGGGAGGGAGCCGUCGAAGGCGGGAUCGGCGAUUGGGACGAAGUCGUAACAAGGUAGCCGUACCGGAAGGUGCGGCUGGAUCACCUCCUUUCUAAGGAG